rnacentral:rRNA from 1 species
GACGAACGCUGGCGGCGUGCUUAACACAUGCAAGUCGAACGGAAAGGCCCCUUUGGUGGUACUCGAGUGGCGAACGGGUGCGUAACACGUGAGUAACCUGCCCUUGACUUCGGGAUAACUUCAGGAAACUGGGGCUAAUACCGGAUAGGAAUCCUUGCUGCAUGGUGGGGGUUGGAAAGCUUCGGCGGUUUUUGAUGGACUCGCGGCUUAUCAGCUUGUUGGUGGGGUAGUGGCUUACCAAGGCUUUGACGGGAAGCCGGCCUGAGUGGGCGACCGGCCACACUGGGACUGAGAUACGGCCCAGACUCCUAAGGGAGGCAGAAGUGGGGAAUAUUGCACAAUGGGCGGAAGCCUGAUGCAGCAACGCCGCGUGCGGGAUGACGGCCUUCGGGUUGUAAAACGAUUUCAGCAGGGGCGAAGCUUGUGGUGACGGUACCUGCAGAAGAAGCACCGGCUAACUACGUG